GAUGAAGAACGUAGUGAAAUGCGAUAAGUAGUGUGAAUUGCAGAAUUCAGUGAAUCAUCGAAUCUUUGAACGCACAUUGCGCCCCAUGGUAUUCCGUGGGGCAUGCCUGUUCGAGCGUCAUUUACCCCCUCAAGCUCCGCUUGGUGUUGGGCGUCUGUCCCGCUUCGCGCGCGGACUCGCCCCAAAGGUAUUGGCAGCGGUCGCGCCAGCUUCUCGCGCAGCACAUUGCGCUUCUCGAGGCACCGGUGGGCCCGCGUCCAUCAAGCUCACCCCCCCAGUUUGACCUCGGAUCAGGUAGGGAUACCCGCUGAACUUAAGCAUAUCAAUAAGCGGAGGA
rnacentral:misc_RNA from 1 species